GCCUUCGGCUGGGCUUGGUGGCACGUGCCUUUAAUUCUAGCACUUUGGGAGGCCUCACAGGAGGAUCAAUUAAGGAUAGCCUGGGCAACAUAGCAAGACUGUCUCAAAAAAAAAAAAAAAAAAAAAGACUGGCAUUUGGCUGAGAAUGGCAAUGGUAAUGGCGUCCCAAAUCCAGGCCCCAGCCCUUCAGCCCCACUCUUCUUGCCUUUGGCCGAGGUACUUUAUCCAGCCUCUACCCCACCUUCCCUCAGUAAACCCAGGGUCCCUGGUCCUGCCCCUCAGGGCCUAUAAGCCACUGGGACCCUCUGCCUGGCUUCUCCCUUGAAGACGGUGCUGCCUGAGUUGAGGCCUGACUUGGCAUAACUUGGAAACUUGCUGGUCAGAGGGUGGCACCCUGUAUGCCCCUCCCUUCCAGCCUGGUCAGUGAUCCCUACUCCAGGCUGUUUGAGACCCAGGCCACACUAUCAUGUAUCCAGUGAACUCUUCCCCCGCCGGGAACUGGUGACUCAUCACUGAAGACUUGUGACAAAGAGCAGCUCCACACCUGUGCACACUUGGGGCAGGCGUGUUUCCAGAGGCCCAGAGGGACAGCGAGAGCGUGAGCAGCAACACUGUGCCAAGCAGGAAGGUGUCCAAGUGACACCCAGGACAACUGGAAGAAGCCCUCGGUGAUCACAGAAAUGGGGAGAGGCUCUGAGCCAGAUGCUGGAAGAUGCAACAGAUGUGAAUAACCUCCAGGACUGAGGACAGUGGAUGCAGGAAAAUCCUUAGGAAAGGAUGUUUUGAAAACCUGCCUGAUGUUUCAACCUGGGGCUGGUGCUCCGGCCUGGACCAUGCCAUCCGAAAAGGCCAGAAAUUCUCCCUAGAAGAUGGAUGGCAACUUGAAAGCCAGUGGGACCAUGUCUCCACAUCUGACACACUGCAGCCCCAAAGAAUAUAUUUGUUCAAUUGAAUCUAAAUGGAGAGGGUAUACCACAAUGGAAAAACAGCCCUAAAAGAUUUGGUCCUGCAAAGCUCUGAACAGCAUCUAUGUGGUAGCUUGCAGCAGUAUUGCCUCUGGUUCAUUCGGGGUCCCUGUAUCCACAUCCUUUCACACAGACUUGGGCCUUGGCCAUGUGGUCUGCUUUGGACAAUGGGAGAAUAGUGAACGUGAUAUGAGACUUGGGCUUGAUUUCUCUAACUGCCAUGGGAGCCCCGAGGCCACCAUGUGAACAAGCCUAAGCCAGAGGAGAACCAAGGGCUCAGCCAACAGCCAACUACCAGACAUGAGCGAAGCCCCUGACUGCCCUCUGACCAUAAGACAUAGUUGAGUUCAGCCAAGCCCAGCAGAAGAAUCGCCUGUCCGUGCCCAGCCCCCAUCACUGAUCCAAAUCAUUAUAAAGCUAAUACAUUUGUUGGUUUAAGCCACUAAGUUUCAGAGGUAGUUUGUUAAUAUGCAAAAGCUAACCUAAUCACUUCUUAGAACAGCACACCCCAAAUAGUAUCUGGAGAGAUAAAGCUAGGCAAACAGGCACACCACCAGCCCCAGGCUGUGCUAUCAGGCACUGUGGGAGGGACAGGAGGAUCCCCCAGAUUCUAGGCCAGGAGAGAGGGGUGAGGUAUUCACCUUGCAUACAAAAUUUAAAGGGCUACCCCAAAACUCAGUAAUGAAGACACAUGAUGUAAUAUUUUAAUGUAAUAUUUAAAAAAAAUCAAAUUGGUAUCUCUGGUCCACGUCCCAG
rnacentral:lncRNA from 10 species